rnacentral:lncRNA from 1 species
CCCAACAAGAUUUUUUAAAAAAGACUUUAUUUAUUAGAGAGAGAACAAGCUGGGAAAAGGGCAGAGGGAGAAGGAGAAGCAGACUCCCCGCUGAGCAGGGAGCUUGACUUGGGGCUGGGGCUCCAUCCCAGAAUCCUGGGAUCAUCACCUGAGCUGAAGGCACAUGCUUAACCAACUGAGUCACCCAGGUGCCUCCCAAAGAGAUAGUUUUGACACUUCAAACUACUCAUACGCUACCUACCAAAGGAGACAGACCUAUAGACAGAAAUUGCUACCUAAUGUGAGAACUUUUAGAUUUAAAAACAUGUUCAAAGAACUUAGUACCUUAUACCCCCUUAAUAACAAAGGGGUUUCAUCUAUUUAUAUAACUUGGUGGCUAAUAUGUAACAAUGUAUCUCCUCAUCUAGGCUACACCCCUGCCUUGGAUUUCCUCUUCAGGACUCCUGUUUGCUCCCAAGAGAUUGGGAAGAUACUAUGUAGAUACCCACAAGAGUCCCACUGGCUAGAAAACGAGCUUCUGAGAAGCUGUCCAUGGGAAAGAUGAUAGAUGUUUGGAAGAGAGAUCCCAGCGCCCUCUGCAGACCCCCAGGCAAGCAGCCUUUAUGGCAGCUGAUGGAAGGGAGGUACCCCCCCACCUCGCUUGAGGUCAAGUCGAGAGAUGUCCUGCAU